rnacentral:lncRNA from 1 species
AAGAUUCUGCAUCGCUAAAAUGCCGGUGCUUCCUUCACUCGCUCGCGGACUGAAUACCUCUUUCUGGAGAAUUCUCUCGUCAGAAACAACAAAGUGCAGAUGUGUGUACGAAUCUCUAAAUAAGAUAUUGAUUUCACAGUGUUAACAGUUUCAGUGAUUUUAAUGGGAGUUUUUGAGAGUGAUUGAACUCUAGACUGUCAGUGAAAAUGUUCUUUGAUAAUGUAAAUGUUCUUUGCUCUCUGUACAAUGAAAGAUUAGUAGCCGUUUUUAUAUCACAUUAACUUUCAUUGUUAAAUUCACAUUUAAUAUAAAGUCAGUCAUAUUAAAAAUAUGUUAUGGCAUGACACCCAUAUCUGUUACUUAAGUAAACAGACAGGUUUUUAUGCAUAGUUAAUAGAUUACAUUAUUAGGCUACUUUGACCAUCGCAUAUUAUCUAACAUAAUCUAUGAAGGUGAGAAUCGAGAUAUUUCAUGAUAUAGUUCAUGCGUCUGGGAAUGUUUCUAAUAAACUAGUUUUGUUUUAGUUUAUGGCUGUAUAAUUAUUUAUUUACUAAUUGUUUUCAGGUUUUAGCAACAUUUUAUUAAUUGCACUGUAUGGUGUUAACACAUGAUGAAUUACUCACACAUGAACAUAACGUGUCUGAUUCAUUGUGUUUUCUCUUUCUGUCUUCAGUCUGAGUGGAUGCAGUAUUACAGAGAAACAGUGUCUCAUCCUGACUUCAGCUCUGAACUCAAACCCAUCACACCUGAGAGAACUGGACCUGAGCAGGAAUGAACUACUAGGAGACUCUGGAGUGAAAAACCUCAGUGAUCUACUGAUGAACACACAAUUCAAGCUGGAGAAACUAGAUCUGUGUGGAUGCAGUAUUACAGAGAAACAGUGUCUCAUCCUGACUUCAGCUCUGAAAUCAAACCCAUCACACCUGAGAGAACUGAACCUGAGCUGGAAUGAACUACUAGGAGACUCUGGAGUGAAAAACCUCAGUGAUCUACUGAUGAACACACAAUUCAAGCUGGAGAAACUAGAGUUAGUAUCAUUAUACUCUACAGCAGUUACACUGAGAUUGAUUUAUCAGGGUACAUAAUUUAUUUCCAAAAAUGCAUGUACCCUUGUGAUCUUUAAUGAAAAUAACUAUUCCUUUCUCUCACAAACACAUCUCUUCUCUCGUCUGAUGAUGUGAAGGCGGGAAAACCUGUCAGUCACAUGAGAUCACAGCAAUAGCAAACAAUUAUCAGCUUUUCAUCUAAAAUAAAUUCCCAACUCGCAGUUAAAAAAAAAGCUGUUUCACUCACUAAAAGUUAGUGUUCUUAUUUUCGUCAAAGUUGUGGGGCUUUGGGCCUUAACAUGCUCAAAACUACUUGAAAUUGCACACACCUUAGAAUCUGUGGCCAUUAGGAGGCUGCAGAGGCUGAGACCCGGGCGUGGCACAGGGCUCUACGGCGCCCCUGGAACACAGUCAGAAAUGUUGAUGUAUAGUUCAAACAUACUUGCACGUAUUCAUAUGAAACUCAGUACACAUAUAGAUCUCAUUGUGCCGAACAACUUUCGUAUUGCAUGUCAUAGGCUCCACCCAACAGGAAGUCAGCUAUUUAGAGCUAUGUAAAAAGUGCAUGCUCUGGAAUUUGAUAUACUUGUCAUAGGUUUUUUACCCGAUUGCCACCAAACUUGGUCAACCUGAUCUCAAGACAUUGGGGAUGCAAAAUUGCCAGGGGAUUUUUCAAACAAAAGACAAUCAAAAUAGAUUUUGCUAUAUUUUAUCAAACCAACUCUCCCGAUGUCUUUUUAGUAGGAGUCAGGUUUUGCAUACACACCCUUUCUUUUCCUUCAUAUAAAACAGCCUCACACAGCUUCUCCUUAUUAGCAUGCUUAGCAUUAGCUCUUAGCAUGUUGGACGGUUCAGAGAUCACAGAACACCUUCAAAGCUUACAAGUAUAGGUGGUUCAUCAUAAAAGGAGCCAAAUGUUUCUCUUCCCUGCUGAAAAACCCUGCUUGAACCAGCCUAAGCUGCAGUGUUGUAGUACCUGAAACUGGACGAAACAGGACUCUGUCUGAAGUCUGUCUUGACGAGUCUUAGUCCGAGUCAAGACAGUGACUUGAAGAGGGUUUGAAUGAGGCUUGGUUUCAUGACAGUGUCACAUGAACCUUGUGCUCCAGUCCUGAGACAGAGCAGACAUGCGAGAGUUGGCACAGACUACAAAACAUAUCCACAGCGUUGCAGCACUCAAGACCGGAAUCGGUGUCUGUGUCAAGACCAAAUGCCCAGAAAAACCAUGAAAAAUAAUAUGACGCUGUCGUCCAGUCUUGAGUUCUACAACACUGUUUGACAGGUUUCCUGGCCUUAGCUGGUUUAGCCGGUCUCCCUGACUAUCCAAGCUGAUGUUUAGCUUGGCUGAAAAGUGUUCAAAACCAUCUUAGGCUGGUUUAAACUAGUCUUUUCAGCAAGGUUGUGGAGAAAGAAAUCCAUGCUUUGGCUUCUAGCAUACAAGUUACAAGUUCAAGAAACCUUCAAAGUCUUUAAACUCUACCUGCAGCUCAUUAUUAUACAGUUGUCUCGCUCUUCCAUACCCUGCUCUUCAUACCAACCGAACCCUGUGAUUGGUCAGUUCCGCUAGUGUCCAAUUCCACCACGGAUCCCUUUAGUGUUCCAUUAGGUGCUGAAACUGUCGUCAACAAGGCCGUCGCAGUGACAUUUGAUGUCACAUUUAGAGGGAACGAGCUCUGCUUUGACUCUCUCUCAGCCGCGGCGGCUAGUUUAAGAUUGUCUUUGCUAGUGCUGCGAUGUUGAGCGUUCUGUUGCAUGGUGGACCUACUUGCCACCGAAGGCAACAGGGGAAAAGGUUUUCUACUUCCGCUGCUACCUCCAUCACUACCUUCCGAAGGGCUUGUCGCUAGUCCCUCCCCUCUGUGCCGCCCAUUGGACAGAAGGCCAUUCUGACCCUCUGAAUGGCUAUUCCGUAGACUUCCAUUGUCACUGGAAGCGUGUUUGUGUAGAUGGUGGAUGUUUGAUUGCUCUGUCCCAGAAGGUCCCAAAGCACCCAUGCUACCUCCUCCACCUGCCCUGAGAGCUUUGAGGCGGUAAUGCCCUCUGCCGUCCCCCCGGUGAUGGUACUGGGUGUUGCCACCUCUGGUUCUACUACAAGCCUUCCUCCUUUGAGGCUGCUGGACAGGCAGUAGACCGGGCAACAGAUUGUUUGCUGGCUUGUUGUUCUCCGUGCUUGUACUUGUGUUGGUAUUAGUUCCCGUUGGCGCUCGGGUGGCGUUGUUCACGUUAUCUUGUGUCACUUGAAGGAGGUUGGUGAGUUUGCAAGGCCCAGCGGCGAUGCUCGUCGUUCCACUUUGAGUUGAUGAUGACCUGGCAGAAGAAGAGUAAUUGUUGGUGUCCGUCGGUGGAUGGCAUCCUACAAAAAGUUGUGAGCCCCUUUCCGAGGCACUCUGAAUGCCUACUGUUGCAGUGCAGGGGUGGGAAUAAGCUGCCAUGGGCUGGGAGCGAUGGUAACCUGGGCAACAACUUAUCCACGCUGCCUGGACAUCCAAACGCUUGAAACAGUGAUGGAGCACCAAGAAGAUUCCUAAUCCGGUAGCCGUUCCUCCAUACAGGCAGCUGAAGAGUUUCUGCUCUCUAUCCACGUGCCAAACGGCCAUAGCGCCACAGCACCACAGCCCCACAAACACAAACUGUGUCACCACCAGCGCCAAACACUGGACUUUCAAUGAAUACUGGUCCUCCACCGUCGUCCCAGCAUGCACCGGGCCCACCGCAGAGUCCGUCGAGAGCAGGCUGGUGCUGCCGCUUGCCGGUUGGCUCUCAGGCGAGGUCUGAGGGGAUGGAGGUGGAGCAAGGAGGAUCUUUGGACUCCUGGAUGUUUCGGCGCCUCAGGCAGAAAGCAGUGCACAGGAAGUAGAUCCAGGUCACAAGAAUGAUCAAUCCAGCUGGAAUGAAGAAUGCUCCGAAACUGGGUUGCCAUACCAACCAGCAACUGGGAAAGGUCAAGAGCAGUGAAAAAGGUCAGAGAGGGCAAAGGCGGCAAUUAGUCAAAUAACAGAAACACAAAGCAAGCUCUGUAUGAAACAAACACUUUUUAAAGAGCCUGUAAAGAAGCGGCCCAGCAUGUGUAAUAAAUCUGCAGCAAGUAUCAGGCA